rnacentral:lncRNA from 1 species
AUUGAAAACGUACCAGAUUCGUGCUUUGCGUGGAGGCGGAGAUGAAGACUCUUAAGUUCGAAUAUGUGUGUUGCAUCGUUUUGAUGAAGAGUGAAGACGAAGCUUGGUUCGGCUCCAUGCGUUGUGUUGCAAUGAAGAGUGAAAGUGGAGAUGCGCAACGAAUCGUGGUAUUGUGAUGAUGAAGAGUUCGUGAUGAUGAAUGAAAAAGUGAAGGUACCAAACUCUUUUUGAAACUUUGUUUGCUCUUCUCCGCCUAUAAUUUUCGUUUUUAUGAUCGUGUUACUCGGUUGUUAUGAGGGUUGAAAAAGUUGUUAGUUGGUUCAGGAAAUUGGAGGUGGUUGGAGAGUUCUUGAAGUGUUUGUUAAGGGUUCUGAAGGUGAAAGUUAGAAGUUGGAGGUAUCAAGGUUCAGGUGAAUUUAGCUAUGUUGGAAUGAAGGGAAGGUUAGAGAGGAGGUUGGAUUUCUGUUAUCGUUUUGUGAAGUCAAGUUGGGGAUAUUUGUGCCAUUCGGUUCAGGAGGUUGGGAUUUUGGAAUUCAAUUUUGAGUUGUUGGAGGGAAGUUGAGAAUUGGUUAGGGAAGGUUUUUUUGGGUAGCAAGGUGAUUGUGUUAUCAAUUGGAGGUUGAAGGUGUUCUUGGGAGAAGUCUUGUUGAAGGUUCAGUUAGUUUUUGACCG